rnacentral:rRNA from 1 species
AACGUAGGUGGCGAGCGUUAUCCGGAUUUACUGGGCGUAAAGCGCGUGUAGGCGGGCGACUAAGUCGGAUGUGAAAUCCCUGGGCUCAACCUAGGAACUGCAUUCGAAACUGGUCACCUAGAGUGAUGGAGAGGAAAGCGGAAUUCCCGGUGUAGAGGUGAAAUUCGUAGAUAUCGGGAGGAACACCAGUGGCGAAGGCGGCUUUCUGGACAUUUACUGACGCUGAGACGCGAAAGCGUGGGGAGCAAACAGG